rnacentral:lncRNA from 1 species
UGCUAAUAAUAUUAUUAUUGCUUGACGUAAAUUUUACAUUGAGGUUCUGAAAAAGGAAAUCACCAAUUCACCAACAUUCCAACUUACUCCAUUUUCAGAAAACGAAAUCUGUAACAAACAUAAACUUUUAGGCACCGCUUUACAAGCAGAGCCAAAUACAAUGAAAGUCCCAACUAUGUAUUGGCUUCCGAAGCUACACAAAACCCCUUACAAAUAUAGAUUUAUUUCGUCUUCAAGCCAUUGUUCAACUACUAAAUUGUCUAUUCUUCUUACCAGCAC